UACAGAGGGUGCGAGCGUUGUUCGGAAUUAUUGGGCGUAAAGAGCGCGUAGGCGGUCCGGUAAGUCGGUUGUGAAAACUGGGGGCUCAACCCUCAGAGGCCGACCGAUACUGUCGGGCUAGAGUCCGGAAGAGGCGAGUGGAAUUCCUGGUGUAGCGGUGAAAUGCGCAGAUAUCAGGAGGAACACCUGUGGUGUAGACAGCUUGCUGGACCACUUCUGACGCUGAGACACGAAAGCGUGGGUAGCAAACAGG
rnacentral:rRNA from 1 species